rnacentral:lncRNA from 1 species
GAUUUAUUGAAUGAUAAAAUGAAUGAGUGAAUUCAAAUGACUGAAUACAGCAUUGCGGAUAGAUCAUAUAAACAUUGUGUUAAGUGAAAAAUUAAGAAAUAUAAUGGAAAUUGUAACGCAAUACUCGUUAUAUAAGUUAUGAGCACAAGCUUCAAGGAAAUUCAAUGAGGGAAAGAAAGUGUUUUCAACAAAUGGUGCUGGAAUAACUGGAUAAGUAUAUGGAAAGAAAAAUGAACUUCAAUCCUUAUUUAUACUAUACAUAACUAUACAUGAGUGAUAGGCUAGAACAUAAAAGUUUGAAUUAUAAAUGUCCUAGAAACAAAUAUAGAAAAAUAUAUUCAUGAGCUUAGGAGAAUGUAGGCAAAGUUUUCCUGGCUAGCACCAAAAAGAGUACUAACCAUAAAUGAACAAACAAAAACAACCCCCGAUACAAUAGGCUUCAUGAAAAUUUAAAAUGUCUGGUUAAUCAAAAGACACCAUUAAGAAAAGGUAAAGGCAAGCCAUGGACUGGGAGAAAAUAUUUACUGUAUAUAAAUCUAAAAUAUGUAAAGAACUUCUAAGAAUCAACAGUAAAAAUAGAAGCAAUGCAAUUUUAAAUGGGAAAAGGAUCUAGACUCUUCUUUAAAGAAGAAAUAAAUAACCAAUAAGCACAUGAAAAGAUACUCUAUCAAAAGUCAUCAGAGAACUUCCAAUUAAAACUGCAGUAAGAUAUUCUAGACCCCAAGAAUGAAACAUUCACAUGGCACUGGGGGCAAUGUGCAAUAGCAUGAACACUGUGGAGUGCGGUUUUCCAGUUUCUUAUGAAGUUAAACAUAUAACUUCCUAAUGAAUCAGCAAUUCUGUUCCUGGGCAUUUGCCCAGAAGAAAUGGAAACCCAUGUCCACAAUAAAGACUUGUGCAGAAACAUCCAGAGCAGCAUUACCCACGAUAGCCAAAAAGUGCCACCAACCCAACUUCAUCAACUGUUGAUGGAUAAAGUACAUCCAUUCACACAAUGGAAUAUUGCUCUGCAACAAAAAAAAGAAUGAACUACAUGGAUGACUUAAAAACAUUAUGUUAAGUGAAAGAAGCCAGACGUAAAAGGCUGUGAGGUUCCAGUUCAGCAACAGGCAAAAUGCAUGUAGAAAUCUGAACAGUGGGUGCCUCUGGAGGGUGAGAGUUGACUGGAAGGUGGCACAAGGGGACUUUCCAGAGAGAUGAAAGUGUUCGGUACCUUGGUUGGGGUGGUGGUUUUACUGGUAUAUACCUUUGUCAAAACACCUCAAACUGUACAAUUAAGAUCUGCAUAUUUAAUGAAAGAAAAGUACACUUACAAAAACACAUAUAGAGCAAGCCUAUAUAUAUUUCAGAGAUCAUUGCCUAUCUAAGGACGUAUAGUAAGUACUUUUGAAUGGGCCUUUUCUGGGGGAGGGGAUUUUUUGAGGACAGCAUGUAAAAUAUUUUAUAAAAUAACAAAAGAACUCAGAAACUGAUGAAGACAGCCUGUCAUGAAAUGAGGAGAGCGACUAUAUGCAGAAUUUGCACCAGAGAUAAGAAAGGAAAGCAGAUGGGCAGGCAGGAAGAAAGGGAGCAAGAUGGGAAGUCAAGAAAGAAGGUGGGGAGGCAGGGGAGGGAAAACGGAAAAGGAGUUGUGUGGAGAGGACAAGUCAUAGAAAGGAGGGAGGAAGAGAGAAAGGAGAGAGAGGGAACAAGAGAGAGAGAAGAAUUAACUAAAUACUAUGCCGAGAUUGCCUUUUCUUUCAUUCUAUUUGUCCUCUGCACUUAACCAGCUCAUAAGCCCUUGGGAGGGAGGCACUAUUUUUUAUAAGUCCUUGCUCCUGCCAGUGGGCAGAACUUGUCGGCUGGUGGGUUAGUUAACAGGCAGCAAGAGACUGCGUAUCAACGCCAGGUGUGCACUUUGUAGCACAGACAGCCCUUUCAUCCAGAUUUAAGGGAGGAAAAUCCUGGUAGCAUUUUACUGGAAACACUUUAGAGGCUGAGGCCUUUGUGAUUUCAUCAGCUAGGGCUCCCACAGGCCCCAGAGGGCCUUUUAAUUAUUGGGAGGGGCCUCCAGGGUGCCUCAGUCUCUUCCUACAGGUGCAUGGGGUGCUGAUUUUAACACACACGAUGUGCCUAUUUCUUCAGCAGGACUCAGUGUGAACUGAGCCACCACCUGGCUCUCUUGCUUUCAGUGGCUCUCACCGCGGCCUGAAGCCCCCUGUGCCGGGACAGUUACAGUUGUCUCUGGAUUCUGGCAGCUCUGUGCUCCCAUUCUGCACCCAUGAAUUAGCUUUGCUCACUCCUGCUACAGUUCAGUUUGGCUCAAUAAUCACUUAGUGAGCUCCUUCCAGAUGCAGACCCAGGGUGGGUGCUAGGGUACAGGAUGACUGAGUCAUGGUCCUGCCCUCAAGGGGCUUGCGUGUAGAGUGGAAGACAUAAGGAGACAGAAUUGUGAAAAGAGGCAGCAAAUGCAAAAAGAGCCACAGGGGCUGGGAAUCAGGUACAGGGCCCAGGCUGUGGUUCCAGGAAAGACUUCCCAGAGAUGAUGCCUGAGCUGCAUCUCAAAGCUCCUGCAGCUCUAAAUUUGGCUGCUCUUUCUCCCUAGACGUUCCAAGGCUCACAGGAGCGAGAUCCCAACAAGGGUCAGCCAUGCUUCUGGAAGCCCCUGCUCCUGGCUGCCAACUCUGCAUCAUAAGGUAUCAUAAGGACUUUCAUGAUGGGGAACACGUUGUUUCCAACAUCCUCCGGAUCUCACUUCAAGCCCGGCAUGUGCUACCAGGAGCCACAGAAACAAAAGACCCGGGUUCAAGUUACAGCUCCAGUUCCUACUAGCUGAGUGACCAUGUGGCCAUGCUGGGAAGACGCCCUGAG